AGAGUUUGAUCCUGGCUCAGAACGAACGCUGGCGGCAUGCCUAACACAUGCAAGUCGAACGAGACCUUCGGGUCUAGUGGCGCACGGGUGCGUAACGCGUGGGAAUCUGCCCUUGGGUUCGGAAUAACAGUUAGAAAUGACUGCUAAUACCGAAUGAUGUCUUCGGACCAAAGAUUUAUCGCCCAAGGAUGAGCCCGCGUCGGAUUAGCUAGUUGGUGAGGUAAAGGCUCACCAAGGCGACGAUCCGUAGCUGGUCUGAGAGGAUGAUCAGCCACACUGGGACUGAGACACGGCCCAGACUCCUACGGGAGGCAGCAGUGGGGAAUAUUGGACAAUGGGCGAAAGCCUGAUCCAGCAAUGCCGCGUGAGUGAUGAAGGCCUUAGGGUUGUAAAGCUCUUUUACCCGGGAUGAUAAUGACAGUACCGGGAGAAUAAGCCCCGGCUAACUCCGUG
rnacentral:rRNA from 1 species